rnacentral:rRNA from 1 species
AGCGAACGCUGGCGGCAGGCCUAACACAUGCAAGUCGAACGGGCACCUUCGGGUGUCAGUGGCAGACGGGUGAGUAACACGUGGGAACGUGCCCUUUGGUUCGGAACAACUCCGGGAAACUGGAGCUAAUACCGGAUAAGCCCUUCGGGGAAGGAUUAUCGCCAAAGGAUCGGCCCGCGUCUGAUUAGUCUUGUUGGUGAGGUAAUGGCUCACCAAGGCGACGAUCAGUAGCUGGUCUGAGAGGAUGAUCAGCCACACU